AUCUCUUCUCUGCCAUCCGCCAUGGGCAUCUCCGUAUCAUACACCACACUUGCAAUGAAUGCACCAAAGACGAAGAAGCAGCAGCCACAGAAGCCUAUAAAGCUAUAACGGUGGGCUACUAUCGAGAGAAGCCGGAGAAGAAGCCAAGAAAGUGCAAAAAAUAAAUUUUUUUUCGUAUUUUUUCUUUUGAAAAGCUCUAUUUAUUAUGUUUUUUUCUGUAAAUUUCCAUGAGAGCAAAUAUUUUUUUGGAUUUUCACGGGUUGUUGAUGGGUUUUGCAGAAAAAUAAUGGGCUUGAAUCUUAGGUAUUUUUCACUGUUUUUGUUUUUUCUUGAUCUAGGUCAGAAGAGAGUUGAUGCUCAGAUUUGGGUUUUUUUUUUUCUUUUUCUUUGGGGAGAACUUGGUGCUCCGGAAUUAUAGAUAAGAAUGAGUUUAAAUAUGUUCUAC
rnacentral:lncRNA from 1 species